rnacentral:rRNA from 1 species
ACUCCUACGGGAGGCAGCAGUGGGGAAUCUUCCGCAAUGGGCGAAAGCCUGACGGAGCAACGCCGCGUGAGUGACGAAGGCCCUUGGGUCGUAAAACUCUGUCUUCAGGGAAGAAAAAAAUGACGGUACCUGAGGAGGAAGCCCCGGCUAACUACGUGCCAGCAGCCGCGGUAAAACGUAGGGGGCGAGCGUUGUCCGGAAUUACUGGGCGUAAAGGGCGUGUAGGCGGUUCGCGAAGUCAGGAGUGAAAACUCGGGGCUCAACCUCGAGAUUGCUUUUGAAACCAGCGGGCUUGAGUGCAGGAGAGGAAAGUGGAAUUCCCAGUGUAGCGGUGAAAUGCGUAGAUAUUGGGAGGAACACCAGUGGCGAAAGCGGCUUUCUGGCCUGUAACUGACGCUGAGGCGCGAAAGCGUGGGGAGCAAACAGGAUUAGAUACCCUGGUAGUCCACGCCGUAAACGAUGGGUGCUAAGUGUUGGGGGUAUCGACCCCCUCAGUGCUGUAGUUAACGCAAUAAGCACCCCGCCUGGGGAGUACGGUCGCAAGACUGAAACUCAAAGGAAUUGACGGGGGCCCGCACAAGCGGUGGAGCAUGUGGUUUAAUUCGACGCAACGCGAAGGACCUUACCAGGGAUUGACAUCCCCUGACCGGACAUGAAAGUGUCCUUUCCCUUCGGGGACA